rnacentral:rRNA from 1 species
CCUACGGGGUGCAGCAGUGAGGAAUAUUGGUCAAUGGCCGAGAGGCUGAACCAGCCAAGUCGCGUGAGGGAAGACGGCCCUACGGGUUGUAAACCUCUUUUGUCGGGGAGCAAAGCGAACCACGUGUGGUUCAUUGAGAGUACCCGACGAAAAAGCAUCGGCUAACUCCGUGCCAACAGCCGCGGUAAUACGGAGGAUGCGAGCGUUAUCCGGAUUUAUUGGGGUUAAAGGGUGCGCAGGCGGAGGUGCAAGUCAGCGGUAAAAUUGCGGGGGUCAAACCCGUACUGCCGUUGAAACUGCAUCCCUUGAGUGCGCGAGAAGUAUGCGGAAUGCGUGGUGUAGCGGUGAAAUGCAUAGAUAUCACGCAGAACUCCGAUUGCGAAGGCAGCAUACCGGCGCGCAACUGACGCUCAUGCACGAAAGCGUGGGUAUCGAACAGGAUUAGAUACCCGUGUAGUC